GAGAGCCCGGUGCGUCGAGAGGCGCACGCCGGGUUCGGCGAGCGGCCCGCAGAAACGGACCGGUGGCAACACCGGAACCGCGCUGCGGGCCGACUCAUCC
rnacentral:ncRNA from 1 species